rnacentral:RNase_P_RNA from 1 species
GCGAGUAAUUGACCGCUGGAAUAAUAUUCUAGAGGAAAGUCCAUGCUUGCACAGGCUGUGAUGCCUGUAGUGUUUGUGUAGGUCAAAUACAUAGAACCUAGCACCUUGAACUUGGUGACGACUGUGAAUAAUCUAAGUGAGCAAUCAUAUGAUUAGGAACAAUAAAGUGCAACAGAGACGAAUUAAUAAGAAAUUAUUAAGUGAAACGGGUAAACUCCACAAGCAAGAAACCCAAAUUAGGUAGGGGAACGGGUUAGAGAGAAUUGAAUCAAUAACUCGGUAGAUAGCAAUAUCUGCAGACAAAUGGUUGAUAAUCAUCUUAGAUGUCGUUGAUAAAUAAGAUGAUCACAGAAUAUGGCUUACGCU